rnacentral:rRNA from 1 species
CGAAUGCUGACAUAAGUAACGAUAAAGCGGGUGAAAAGCCCGCUCGCCGGAAGACCAAGGGUUCCUGUCCAACGUUAAUCGGGGCAGGGUGAGUCGACCCCUAAGGCGAGGCCGAAAGGCGUAGUCGAUGGGAAACAGGUUAAUAUUCCUGUACUUGGUGUUACUGCGAAGGGGGGACGGAGAAGGCUAUGUUGGCCGGGCGACGGUUGUCCCGGUUUAAGCGUGUAGGCUGGUUUUCCAGGCAAAUCCGGAAAAUCAAGGCUGAGGCGUGAUGACGAGGCACUACGGUGCUGAAGCAACAAAUGCCCUGCUUCCAGGAAAAGCCUCUAAGCAUCAGGUAACAUCAAAUCGUACCCCAAACCGACACAGGUGGUCAGGUAGAGAAUACCAAGGCGCUUGAGAGAACUCGGGUGAAGGAACUAGGCAAAAUGGUGCCGUAACUUCGGGAGAAGGCACGCUGAUAUGUAGGUGAAGUCCCUCGCGGAUGGAGCUGAAAUCAGUCGAAGAUACCAGCUGGCUGCAACUGUUUAUUAAAAACACAGCACUGUGCAAACACGAAAGUGGACGUAUACGGUGUGACGCCUGCCCGGUGCCGGAAGGUUAAUUGAUGGGGUCAGCGCAAGCGAAGCUCUUGAUCGAAGCCCCGGUAAACGGCGGCCGUAACUAUAACGGUCCUAAGGUAGCGAAAUUCCUUGUCGGGUAAGUUCCGACCUGCACGAAUGGCGUAAUGAUGGCCAGGCUGUCUCCACCCGAGACUCAGUGAAAUUGAACUCGCUGUGAAGAUGCAGUGUACCCGCGGCAAGACGGAAAGACCCCGUGAACCUUUACUAUAGCUUGACACUGAACAUUGAGCCUUGAUGUGUAGGAUAGGUGGGAGGCUUUGAAGUGUGGACGCCAGUCUGCAUGGAGCCGACCUUGAAAUACCACCCUUUAAUGUUUGAUGUUCUAACGUGGACCCGUGAUCCGGGUUGCGGACAGUGUCUGGUGGGUAGUUUGACUGGGGCGGUCUCCUCCUAAAGAGUAACGGAGGAGCACGAAGGUUGGCUAAUCCUGGUCGGACAUCAGGAGGUUAGUGCAAUGGCAUAAGCCAGCUUGACUGCGAGCGUGACGGCGCGAGCAGGUGCGAAAGCAGGUCAUAGUGAUCCGGUGGUUCUGAAUGGAAGGGCCAUCGCUCAACGGAUAAAAGGUACUCCGGGGAUAACAGGCUGAUACCGCCCAAGAGUUCAUAUCGACGGCGGUGUUUGGCACCUCGAUGUCGGCUCAUCACAUCCUGGGGCUGAAGUAGGUCCCAAGGGUAUGGCUGUUCGCCAUUUAAAGUGGUACGCGAGCUGGGUUUAGAACGUCGUGAGACAGUUCGGUCCCUAUCUGCCGUGGGCGCUGGAGAACUGAGGGGGGCUGCUCCUAGUACGAGAGGACCGGAGUGGACGCAUCACUGGUGUUCGGGUUGUCAUGCCAAUGGCACUGCCCGGUAGCUAAAUGCGGAAGAGAUAAGUGCUGAAAGCAUCUAAGCACGAAACUUGCCCCGAGAUGAGUUCUCCCUGACCCUUUAAGGGUCCUGAAGGAACGUUGAAGA